CACGGGGGUUGGAGGGCAAGUCUGGUGCCAGCAGCCGCGGUAAUUCCAGCUCCAAUAGCGUAUAUUAAAGUUGUUGCAGUUAAAAAGCUCGUAGUUGAAUUUCGGGAUUGACACAUCGGUCGUGCCUUAAGGGGUAUGAACUGGCGUAGUCAAUUUCUCACCUUCUGGAGAACCGCGAUGCCCUUAAUUGGGUGUCACGGGGAACCAGGACCUUUACUUUGAAAAAAUUAGAGUGUUUAAAGCAGGCAUUUUGCUUGAAUACAUUAGCAUGGAAUAAUAAAAUAGGACGGCAUGAUUCUAUUUUGUUGGUUUCUAGGAUCACCGUAAUGAUUAAUAGGGAUAGUUGGGGGCAUUAGUAUUCAAUUGUCAGAGGUGAAAUUCUUGGAUUUAUUGAAGACUAACUACUGCGAAAGCAUUUGCCAAGGAUGUUUUCAUUA
rnacentral:rRNA from 1 species